rnacentral:tRNA from 1 species
ACCGCGGUAGCUCAGCCGGUACAGCAUCUGCCCGGUAUGCGGAGGGUCGCCGGUUCGACUCCGGCUCGCGGCG